CCUACGGGCGGUAGCAGUGAGGAAUAUUGGUCAAUGGACGAGAGUCUGAACCAGCCAAGUAGCGUGAAGGAUGACUGCCCUAUGGGUUGUAAACUUCUUUUAUAUGGGAAUAAAAUGUUCCACGUGUGGGAUUUUGUAUGUACCAUAUGAAUAAGGAUCGGCUAACUCCGUGCCAGCAGCCGCGGUAAUACGGAGGAUCCGAGCGUUAUCCGGAUUUAUUGGGUUUAAAGGGAGCGUAGGUGGAUUGUUAAGUCAGUUGUGAAAGUUUGCGGCUCAACCGUAAAAUUGCAGUUGAAACUGGCAGUCUGGAGUACAGUAGAGGUGGGCGGAAUUCGUGGUGUAGCGGUGAAAUGCUUAGAUAUCACGAAGAACUCCGAUUGCGAAGGCAGCUCACUGGACUGCAACUGACACUGAGGCUCGAAAGUGUGGGUAUCAAACAGGAUUAGAUACCCCAGUAGUC
rnacentral:rRNA from 1 species